UGAAUAGCUCAGUUGGUAGAGUGUGAGACUCUUAAUCUUGGGGUCUUGGGUUCAAGUCUCAUGUUGGGCAA